rnacentral:rRNA from 1 species
GAUGAACGCUGGCGGCGUGCCUAAUACAUGCAAGUCGAGCGAACGGACGAGAAGCUUGCUUCUCUGAUGUUAGCGGCGGACGGGUGAGUAACACGUGGAUAACCUACCUAUAAGACUGGGAUAACUUCGGGAAACCGGAGCUAAUACCGGAUGAUAUUUUGAACCGCAUGGUUCAAAAGUGAAAGACGGUCUUGCUGUCACUUAUAGAUGGAUCCGCGCUGCAUUAGCUAGUUGGUAAGGUAACGGCUUACCAAGGCAACGAUGCAUAGCCGACCUGAGAGGGUGAUCGGCCACACUGGAACUGAGACACGGUCCAGACUCCUACGGGAGGCAGCAGUAGGGAAUCUUCCGCAAUGGGCGAAAGCCUGAUGGAGCAACGCCGCGUGAGUGAUGAAGGUCUUCGGAUCGUAAAACUCUGUUAUUAGGGAAGAACAUAUGUGUAAGUAACUGUGCACAUCUUGACGGUACCUAAUCAGAAAGCCACGGCUAACUACGUG